AGGAGCAACAGCCCCAGUGGCGGGGCAGCUCUGGAAACCUGGAUUCAGCCCCCGCAGUAGCUCCAGAGCUCUCUGUCUGCAGGGCCUGGAGGCUCCGGGGCGGG
rnacentral:pre_miRNA from 1 species